rnacentral:rRNA from 1 species
AUGGUCGUCGGCGGCGGCGCCAUGAACGUGUUCGCGGGGGGUGGCGGCGGCGCGGGGCCGGGGGCCGAGGCGCCGGCGAGGGACGACGUGGGGGCGCUGCUGGAGCUGACGCCGCACAAGAUAGCGGUGUGCCACCUCGUGCAGGUCUUGGCGCCGCCGGCCCCCUUCCAGUCCGUCGCCCACCACAACCGCCUCGGCCUCUUCCUCUUCUCCCUCACCCGCGCAGCAGCAGUGGUGAAUUCUCUUUUCACUACAUGCUACAAGUACAACAUGCAAGCAGAGAAUGCAGCUGUUCUUUUAUUACUUGCGGAAAUACAUAAAAAGUCCGACAACGCAGUCCUUGGGCUCUCUUACGCGUUAGCCAGCCAAUCGUUCUGCAAAUCAUUUAAUUUGGAUCUGCUUGAAGCUUCAGCCACACUUACUCUCGCUGAACUGUGGCUAGCUCUUGGAUCAAGCCAUGUAAAGAGGGCCCUAGGUCUUGUUUAUCAAAGCCCUCCUAUGAUUCUCGUCCAUGGCAGUCUUGAGUUGCGUGCUCGAUCUCAGAUAGUCUUAGCAAAAUGUCAUUUAACUGAUCCAGAAUUUUCAGUUUUUGAAGAUGCUCGUGCUGUUCUCAACCCACUAAAUCAAGCGGCUGAAGACGUGCAGGUUUUAGAGUACCACGAGAUGGCGGCAGAGGUGUAUUAUCUCAAGGCAAUGACAUAUAACCACCUGGGCAAGGAAGGCAAGAGGGAGGAAGCCGCAGCUUGUUUCAAGGAGCACGUUACUGCCCUCGAGAACCUGUGCGACAAGGAGGAUUCACUUGCUUACUGA